rnacentral:rRNA from 1 species
CAGUCGCCACGGGAAUACGAAGGGGGCUAGCGUUGUUCGGAAUUACUGGGCGUAAAGCGCACGUAGGCGGAUCUUUAAGUCAGAGGUGAAAUCCCAAGGCUCGACCUUGGAACUGCCUUUGAUACUGGUGAUCUUGAGUCCGGAAGAGGUGAGUGGAACUGCGAGUGUAGAGGUGAAAUUCGUAGAUAUUCGCAAGAACACCAGUGGCGAAGGCGGCUCACUGGUCCGGUACUGACGCUGAGGUGCGAAAGCGUGGGGAGCAAACAGGAUUAGAUACCCCGGUAGUCCCUGUCUCUUAUAA